rnacentral:rRNA from 1 species
GAUGAACGCUGGCGGCGUGCCUAAUACAUGCAAGUCGAGCGAACAGAUGAGGAGCUUGCUCCUCUGACGUUAGCGGCGGACGGGUGAGUAACACGUGGAUAACCUACCUAUAAGACUGGGAUAACUUCGGGAAACCGGAGCUAAUACCGGAUAAUAUAUUGAACCGCAUGGUUCAAUAGUGAAAGACGGUUUUGCUGUCACUUAUAGAUGGAUCCGCGCCGCAUUAGCUAGUUGGUAAGGUAACGGCUUACCAAGGCAACGAUGCGUAGCCGACCUGAGAGGGUGAUCGGCCACACUGGAACUGAGACAGGGUCCAGACUCCUACGGGAGGCAGCAGUAGGGAAUCUUACGCAAUGGGCGAAAGCCUGACGGAGCAACGCCGCGUGAGUGAUGAAGGUCUUCGGCUCGUAAAACUCUGUUAUUAGUGAAGAACAAAUGUGUAAGUAACUGUGCACGUCUUGACGGUACCUAAUCAGAAAGCCACGGCUAACUACGUG